UAGGGAAUAUUGGACAAUGGGCGAAAGCCUGAUCCAGCAACGCCGCGUGCGCGAUGAAGGCCUUCGGGUUGUAAAGCGCUUUUCGGGGGGAUGAGGAAGGACAGUACCCCCGGAAUAAGUCUCGGCUAACUACGUGCCAGCAGCCGCGGUAAAACGUAGGAGGCAAGCGUUAUCCGGAUUUACUGGGCGUAAAGCGCGUGCAGGCGGUUCGGUAAGUCGGACGUGAAAGCUCCUGGCUCAACUGGGAGAGGCCGUUCGAUACUACCGAACUAGAGGGCAGGAGAGGGAGGUGGAAUUCCAGGUGUAGCGGUGAAAUGCGUAGAUAUCCGGAGGAACACCAGUGGCGAAGGCGGCCUCCUAGUCUGCCCCUGACGCUCAGACGCGAAAGCUAGGGGAGCGAACGGGAUUAGAAACCCCGGUAGUCCUAGCUGUAAACGAUGCGGACUUGGUGUGGGUGGCUUAAACUCCAUCCGUGCCGUAGCUAACGCGAUAAGUCCGCCGCCUGGGGACUACGACCGCAAGGUUA
rnacentral:rRNA from 1 species